AUGAACGCUAGCUACAGGCUUAACACAUGCAAGUCGAGGGGCAGCAUGGUCUUAGCUUGCUAAGGCCGAUGGCGACCGGCGCACGGGUGAGUAACACGUAUCCAACCUGCCGUCUACUCUUGGACAGCCUUCUGAAAGGAAGAUUAAUACAAGAUGGCAUCAUGAGUCCACAUGUUCACAUGAUUAAAGGUAUUCCGGUAGACGAUGGGGAUGCGUUCCAUUAGAUAGUAGGCGGGGUAACGGCCCACCUAGUCUUCGAUGGAUAGGGGUUCUGAGAGGAAGGUCCCCCACAUUGGAACUGAGACACGGUCCAAACUCCUACGGGAGGCAGCAGUGAGGAAUAUUGGUCAAUGGGCGAGAGCCUGAACCAGCCAAGUAGCGUGAAGGAUGACUGCCCUAUGGGUUGUAAACUUCUUUUAUAAAGGAAUAAAGUCGGGUAUGCAUACCCGUUUGCAUGUACUUUAUGAAUAAGGAUCGGCUAACUCCGUGCCAGCAGCCGCGGUAAUACGGAGGAUCCGAGCGUUAUCCGGAUUUAUUGGGUUUAAAGGGAGCGUAGAUGGAUGUUUAAGUCAGUUGUGAAAGUUUGCGGCUCAACCGUAAAAUUGCAGUUGAUACUGGAUAUCUUGAGUGCAGUUGAGGCAGGCGGAAUUCGUGGUGUAGCGGUGAAAUGCUUAGAUAUCACGAAGAACUCCGAUUGCGAAGGCAGCCUGCUAAGCUGCAACUGACAUUGAGGCUCGAAAGUGUGGGUAUCAAACAGGAUUAGAUACCCUGGUAGUCCACACGGUAAACGAUGAAUACUCGCUGUUUGCGAUAUACGGCAAGCGGCCAAGCGAAAGCGUUAAGUAUUCCACCUGGGGAGUACGCCGGCAACGGUGAAACUCAAAGGAAUUGACGGGGGCCCGCACAAGCGGAGGAACAUGUGGUUUAAUUCGAUGAUACGCGAGGAACCUUACCCGGGCUUAAAUUGCAGAUGAAUUACGGUGAAAGCCGUAAGCCGCAAGGCAUCUGUGAAGGUGCUGCAUGGUUGUCGUCAGCUCGUGCCGUGAGGUGUCGGCUUAAGUGCCAUAACGAGCGCAACCCUUGUUGUCAGUUACUAACAGGUUCCGCUGAGGACUCUGACAAGACUGCCAUCGUAAGAUGUGAGGAAGGUGGGGAUGACGUCAAAUCAGCACGGCCCUUACGUCCGGGGCUACACACGUGUUACAAUGGGGGGUACAGAGGGCCGCUACCACGCGAGUGGAUGCCAAUCCCAAAAACCUCUCUCAGUUCGGACUGGAGUCUGCAACCCGACUCCACGAAGCUGGAUUCGCUAGUAAUCGCGCAUCAGCCACGGCGCGGUGAAUACGUUCCCGGGCCUUGUACACACCGCCCGUCAAGCCAUGGGAGCCGGGGGUACCUGAAGUGCGUAACCGCGAGGAGCGCCCUAGGGUAAAACUGGUGACUGGGGCU
rnacentral:rRNA from 1 species